AACCAUAGAAACCUGCGGAGUACCUGCGGAGGGAUCAUUACCAGAGUGCCAUAGGCUCUCCAACCCAUUGUGAACAUACCUAUCGUUCCCUCGGCGGGCUCAGCGCGCGGGGCCUCCGGGCUUCCGGGCGUCCGCCGGGGACAACCAAACCCUGAUUUACUACGUGUAUCUCUGAGGGGCGAAAGCCCGAAAACAAAAUAAAUCAAAACUUUUAACAACGGAUCUCAGAUCGGAAGAGCA
rnacentral:misc_RNA from 1 species